rnacentral:rRNA from 1 species
AGCGAAGCUUGCUUUGCUCCGCCGGCGACCGGCGCACGGGUGAGUAACGCGUAUGCAACCUGCCCGUUUCAGCGGGAUAACCCGGAGAAAUCCGGCCUAAUACCGCAUGUGGCCGAGGGAAGGCAUCUUCUUUCGGCCAAAGGAGGCGACUCCGGAGACGGAUGGGCAUGCGUGACAUUAGCUUGUUGGCGGGGUAACGGCCCACCAAGGCGACGAUGUCUAGGGGUUCUGAGAGGAAGGUCCCCCACACUGGUACUGAGACACGGACCAGACUCCUACGGGAGGCAGCAGUGAGGAAUAUUGGUCAAUGGGCGAGAGCCUGAACCAGCCAAGUCGCGUGAAGGAUGACGGCCCUACGGGUUGUAAACUUCUUUUGUCAGGGAGCAAUUGGGUCCACGCGUGGGCUUAGCGAGAGUACCUGAAGAAAAAGCAUCGGCUAACUCCGUGCCAGCAGCCGCGGUAAUACGGAGGAUGCGAGCGUUAUCCGGAUUUAUUGGGUUUAAAGGGUGCGUAGGCGGAAUAUCAAGUCAGCGGUAAAAAUUCGGGGCUCAACCCCGUCGUGCCGUUGAAACUGAUGUUCUUGAGUGGGCGAGAAGUAUGCGGAAUGCGUGGUGUAGCGGUGAAAUCAUAGAUAUCACGCAGAACUCCGAUUGCGAAGGCAGCAUACCGGCGCCCAACUGACGCUGAAGCACGAAAGCGUGGGUAUCGAACAGGAUUAGAUACCCUGGUAGUCCACGCAGUAAACGAUGAAUGCUAAUUGUCCGGAGGGAUUGACCUCUGGGUGAUACAGCGAAAGCGUU